rnacentral:rRNA from 1 species
UACGUAGGCAGCGAGCGUUGUUCGGAAUUACUGGGCGUAAAGAGUGUGUAGGCGGUGCUCCCAGUCUGUUGUGAAAUCUCCCGGCUUAACUGGGAGGGUGCAGCGGAAACUAGAGUGCUAGAGGGUGGGAGAGGUAAGCGGAAUUCCUGGUGUAGCGGUGAAAUGCGUAGAUAUCAGGAGGAACACCUGUGGUGUAGACAGCUUACUGGACCAUUUCUGACGCUGAGACACGAAAGCGUGGGUAGCAAACAGG